GCUCCGGUGGCCUAAGUGAUUAGAGCGUCCGCGGCGGAUGCGUAAGGUCGCGGGUUCGAUCCCCGGCCGAGUCA